rnacentral:lncRNA from 1 species
ACAGUUGGCAGCUGUGUGAAGAUGGGAAAUGGAGGAGGCAGGGUAGGCAGUGGGUGACGCAGCCACAGCUUGGGUUCUCUGCAGCCAUGGCACAGAAGAUAGGAACACCCGUGGGGGAUGCGGCCACCAUGGUGUCUUCCCACACAAGGAGUGCCAAGUGCUUUUCUCACGCUUUUCUGGAUUGUUCCAUGGUGGAUGAGUCAGCAGGAGUGAGAUGGAGCCGCAGAGUGGAGGGGUAUCUGGCAAGGCCCGGAGGGAGGAUCCCCUGUCCCCAACAUUUCAAUGAUAUCAGGUUCCUUAGAUCCUGGGAUGAGGAGGUUGACCAGAAGGUGGGCUUGGGAAGGCAGCCUGGGGUCCAAAUCCUCCUGGCUCUUCAGCUUGGCAGAGACAGCAAAGACAAAUAUUCAAGAAAAAAAAAAAAACCCUGAGGUGCUACUGACUUCGUGUAUGUCUUAGCUGUAGACAGAAUUGGGAUUUCCUAAUAUGGGUUUGUUCCAGCACAGCCCCUCCGAAAGAUUUUCAUCAGCAAAACACACAUUGGAGGAGCAGCUGCUGUGCAGUUGUCUCCUUUAAACCAUUUUCUCACUUCAUUGCUAAUUUUCACAGCACCUUUCUUCUAACAGUUCUACCUUUUUGAUCUGCAAACAACCUGGGAUUAUUUCUUUCCCUCUUGGUAAAUAAAAG